UCAGGCUGCUUUCCUGGCUUCAGCAACUCCCCUGUUCUCUAAGGAUAGUCUCAGAGAAAGCUAAGGGAGGAGCCCAGGUCUGGAUGAGCUGAUCACAGUCAGCAGGGGAAGGAAAAGAGGAGGGAGAAAUGCCCACCAACACCAGCAAGCAGAGCAACUGCAGCUGCUAAGCAAAGAGGCCAGCAGCUUUUAUUAGGUACUGGGGUGAAGCUUCUGGAGAGGGAAAACUGAAGGAAGAAGAGGAAAGGAAGGCUAGUGAAAUGGGAAACUGAGGGACUAAAAGGGGAAGAUGGAUGAAUAGACCAGGGGAGGAAGAAGGGGACUGAUGGAUAGUUGUCAAAAUCAAAUUGAUGGGGGAAGAUAAUUAAUGGAUGGAGGAGGAGUGGGGGAAGAACUGAUAAUGGGAAGGGGUGGAUUGAUGUAUUUGUGUAGGGAUAAUUGAGGGAUGUGGAGGGUGCCAACUUCAGAACUUUAAAAUUUGCAUAUACAAUUUUUAUGUGCAUUUUUCUUAGGCUUUUCCCACUGUCAACGUAGGCAGGUUUUGUCUGGGAAACUCUCAAGUUAAUUUAUAAUAAAAUUGUACCCUGUCCCACAUCUCCAUCCAUGCUCAAAGUAAUGGAAAUAGGUUGGAAACUUUCCUAAAAGCAACGUUCAAAGGCAAGUGUUUUCUUCAAAUCAACAGGAGAGAGAUUUGCUGCAUAUCAGUUCAAGUUACCCAUCUGUUCAUAGAUAUAUGGCUGUUUCUGUGGAAUAAAAACCAACUGGCUCACAUGUUUGUGAUAGUCUCAUUUUCCAGAGCAAUAUUUUUGAAGCAUGGGGUUAUGACCCAAAUGUGCGUUGAGAAUCUGUUGUCCUGGCCUCAACAAUUUCCUAUGGACCAGCCAUUUUCUGUUUUCAGUGUGUGUGUGUGGGGGGGAAAUGUUUCUCUCCUUUAUGUUUGUGACGAUAACAUUCUAAUGUAAGUAGCUGCGUUAAUUAACCUAUUAAUUAGCCUUGACUAUAUUUCACUAGGGAAUAUGCAAGUCAUUAAAUUUUCAGUAAGAAUGUAUAAAUUACAGGUUUUGAUAUUUUAAGUGUGAAAUUAUCACAUUUGUAUGAAUAUGAAUAUAAAUACCUACUUUGUCCAUAAUAUAGCAUAGGCAUUUUUUAGUUUUGUGGGUUUUCUUUUACUGAAGCAGUAUUAAGAUUUCUGCCAUAAGUUCACAAAAGGAGUUGCAGAUAUAAAGCUAUGGAAGAAAGAAAUUGAGUAGUUUAGUAGUCACAGAAGUAAAAUUUUGGUGGCAGGUGGAGUAAAAUGGUGGUUAGGCUAACAAGCAGAUAACCAACGUUACUACUUAGUGUUAAUGGAAAUUCCUCUUCAGUUCACUAAAUAGUAGCCUGUAUUUAUGCAACUGGAGGUUUUGAAUUCAACCUCUUGAUGCAUGUUUGUAGUUUAGCUGGUGCUGACGAUUAGCUGUGAAUUAAUAGUGAAUUUUUCAGUGCAUUUUUGUCUUAACUUUUCUCUGUGUUAAACAUUCAAAUUCCAUACUUCUGGGGCAUAGGGGAAUCAAGGUGAAAAAUUAGUGGGUAGCACAGUAAGAAAGUUCACUUUUCUUAUUUUUCUAAGUCAGGAUUUUUUCAUAUGCACUGAUGAUUAGGCUUAGUGGGAUUCAAUUUUUAUUAAAAAUAAUUUUGACAGGUAAUAUUGAUUAUUUUAAAGCAUUUUUUUUCAGAUUUUAUCCUUUUUAAUUUUCACAGCUGUGGAAAAAGAUGGGUUUUUAAUUUUUCCCUGAGUUAUAUUGAUUUCAAUUUUUGAAGUAGUGGGGAAUUGUGGGGGGGGUGUCAGACAAUGAAGGGGCAGACAAUAAUUAUUUAUGACACUAAACUCUGAGAUUAAAAAUAUUAAACCUUUAUAAUCAUUACAAAACAAAUGGUCAAAAUCACAAGUCAAAAUGUACAAGUAAAUAUCCUUAAAUUAAACACUAUGUUCUCAAACAGCAUUUUUCUAACAUUGCCUAUCUGUAAACGUUGAUUGUCAUCUAUGCAAAUAUUUUUUCAUUGUUUUUUGUAUGUGUGUUUACCAACAUUUACCGAUAAAAUUUAAGCCUUCCAACCCCCACUGAUAAUAAAUAUCUACUAUUGCAUCA
ensembl:lncRNA